rnacentral:rRNA from 1 species
CAGGGAAUCUUCGGCAAUGGACGAAAGUCUGACCGAGCAACGCCGCGUGAGUGAAGAAGGUUUUCGGAUCGUAAAACUCUGUUGUUAGAGAAGAACAAGGACGUUAGUAACUGAACGUCCCCUGACGGUAUCUAACCAGAAAGCCACGGCUAACUACGUGCCAGCAGCCGCGGUAAUACGUAGGUGGCAAGCGUUGUCCGGAUUUAUUGGGCGUAAAGCGAGCGCAGGCGGUUUCUUAAAUCUGAUGUGAAAGCCCCCGGCUCAACCGGAGAGGGUCAUUGGAAACUGGGAGACUUGAGUGCAGAAGAGGAGAGUGGAAUUCCAUGUGUGGCGGUGAAAUGCGUAGAUAUAUGGAAGAACACCAGUGACGAAGGCGGCUCUCUGGUCUGUAACUGACGCUGAGGCUCGAAAGCGUGGGGAGCAAGCAGG